rnacentral:rRNA from 1 species
CCUACGGGAGGCAGCAGUAGGGAAUCUUCCACAAUGGGCGAAAGCCUGAUGGAGCAACGCCGCGUGGGUUAAGAAGGUCUUCGGAUCGUAAAACCCUGUUGUUAGAGAAGAAAGUGCGUGAGAGUAACUGUUCACGUUUCGACGGUAUCUAACCAGAAAGCCACGGCUAACUACGUGCCAGCAGCCGCGGUAAUACGUAGGUGGCAAGCGUUAUCCGGAUUGAUUGGGCGUAAUAGGAACGCAGGCGGUCUUUUAAGUCUGAUGUGAAAGCCGUCGGCUUAACCGGAGUAGUGCAUUGGAAACUGGGAGACUUGAGUGCAGAAGAGGAGAGUGGAACUCCAUGUGUAGCGGUGAAAUGCGUAGAUAUAUGGAAGAACACCAGUGGCGAAAGCGGCGCUCUGGUCUGUAACUGACGCUGAGGUUCGAAAGCGUGGGUAGCAAACAGGAUUAGAUACCCCUGUAGUC